rnacentral:rRNA from 1 species
AGUUCGAUCAUGGCUCAGAUUGAACGCUGGCGGGAUAAGCCACAUGCAAGUCGAACGGCGCACGGACUUCGGUCUGCGUGGCGAGUGGCGAACGGGUGAGUAAUGUAUCGGAACGUGCCUAGUAGCGGGGAUAACGAUGCUGAAAGCGUAGCUAAUACCGCAUACACCCUUCGGGGGAAAGCGGGGGACCUUCGCCUCAGCACUAUUAGAGCGGCCGAUAUCGAUUGGCUAGUUGUGUAACGGCUCACCAAGGGCGACGAUCCGUAGCUGGUUUGAGAGGACGACCAGCCACAUCACGGACUGGAGACACGGCCCAGACUCCUACGGAGGCAGCAGUGGGGAAUUUUGACAAUGGGGAAACUUCGAUCCAGCCAUCCCGCGUGUGCGAUGAAGGCCUUCGUAUUGUAAAGCACUUUUGGCAGGAAAGAAACGGCACGGGAUAAUACCCCGUGCAACUGACGGUACCCGCAGAAUAAGCACCGGCUAAAUCACAAACAGCAGCCGCGGUAAUGUAAUGUAGGGUGCAAGCGUUAAUUGGAAAUUUGUCGGCGUAAAGCGUGCGCAGGCGGUUCGAAAAAGAAAGAUGUAAACCCCAGAGCUUAACUUUGGAACUGCAUUUUUAACUACCGAGCUAGAGUGUGUCAGAGGGAUGGAAUUCCGUGUAGCAGUGAAAUGCGUAGAUAUGCGGAGGAACACCGAUGGCGAAGGCAGCCUCCUGGGAUAACACUGACGCUCAUGCACGAAAGCGUGGGGAGCAAACAGGAUUGAUACCCUGGUAGUCCACGCCCUAAACGAUGUCAACUAGCUGCUGGGGCCUGGUAGCAGCUAACGCGUGAAGUUGACCGCCUGGGGAGUACGGUCGCAAGAUUAAAACUCAAAGGAAUUGACGGGGACUCCGCACAAGCUGCGGAUGAUGUGGAUUAAUUCGAUGCAACGCGAAAACCCACUCUACCUCUUGACAUGUCUGGGUAAAUCCCGAAGAGAGCCUAGGAGUGCUCGCAAGAGAACCGGAACACAGGUGCUGCAUGGCUGUCGUCAGCUCGUGUCGAGAUGCUGGGUUAAGUCCCGCAACGAGCGCAACCCUUGUCAUUAGUUGGCGUUACGAAAGGGCACCUCCAUCGAGACUGCCGGUGACAAACCGGGGAAGGUGGGGAUGACGUCAAGUCCUCAUGGCCCUUAUGGGUAGGGCUUCACACGUCAUACAAUGGUCGGGACAGAGGGUCGCCAACCCGCGAGGGGGAGCCGUAAUCCCAGAAACCCGAUCGUCCGGAUCGCAGCCUGCAACUCGACUGCGUGAAGUCGGAAUCGCUAGUAAUCGCGGAUCAGCAUGUCGUGUGAAUACGUUCCCGGGUCUUGUACACACUGCCCGUCACACAUGGGAGUGGGUUUUACCAGAAGUAGUUAGCCUAACCGUAAGGAGGGCGAUUACCACGGUAGGAUUCAUGCCUGGGGUGAAGUCGCAACAAGGUAA